GACGUAGGGGGCCAGCGUUGUUCGGAAUUACUGGGUGUAAAGGGUUCGUAGGCGGUGCGGCAAGUCGGGAGUGAAAUCUCUGGGCUUAACCCAGAGGCUGCUUCCGAAACUGCUGUGCUUGAGUGUGGGAGAGGCGCGUGGAAUUGCAGGUGUAGCGGUGAAAUGCGUAGAUAUCUGCAGGAACACCCGUGGCGAAAGCGGCGCGCUGGACCACUACUGACGCUGAGUGAACGAAAGCUAGGGGAGCAAACAGG
rnacentral:rRNA from 1 species